rnacentral:rRNA from 1 species
AACUUGCUUCUAUGCGUUGCGGCGGACGGGUGAGUACACGUGGGCACCUGCCUGUAAGACUGGGAUAACUUCGGGAAACCGAAGCUAAUACCGGAUAGGAUCUUCUCCUUCAUGGGAGAUGAUUGAAAGAUGGUUUCGGCUAUCACUUACAGAUGGGCCCGCGGUGCAUUAGCUAGUUGGUGAGGUAACGGCUCACCAAGGCAACGAUGCAUAGCCGACCUGAGAGGGUGAUCGGCCACACUGGGACUGAGACACGGCCCAGACUCCUACGGGAGGCAGCAGUAGGGAAUCUUCCGCAAUGGACGAAAGUCUGACGGAGCAACGCCGCGUGAGUGAUGAAGGCUUUCGGGUCGUAAAACUCUGUUGUUAGGGAAGAACAAGUACGAGAGUAACUGCUNGUACCUUGACGGUACCUAACCAGAAAGCCACGGCUAACUACGUGCCAGC